UCCGCGCAAACAAGCGCGACCUUCUCGCAGGAGGAAGUACGCGCAGCCGGCAUGCGUUUUCGGCGCCGGCCCGGAUUCCGUUUGUCACUUCUUUUUGUCACCGUGCGUGCACACAACCGCGCGCGCGUCCGACCUCCUCCUCCUUCCGUCCGCGUCUUUAGACCGGCUGAUCGGGUCCAAUGACCAAAAUUAGUGAAAAGGAGGCAAAAACAUCGUUCCCGAAGCGCUCCUCCGGCCGUUUCCUGCCUCCUCCCUGUGCUUAUCUCUCUCACACCUCUGGACAACCGCCAUACAUCUGUUCAGUUUACCCGAGGACUCCGUUCCCGCGAGUUAAUCGAGGAGGCACGUUCGUCUGGAACCAUCAAGGCCGCGAAUGUGGGUGGACGUAUCUUCCGAGAAUCGGCGAGCUGAUUUCGUGCCUGCCGCCAUCGCGAGGACGACGUAGUCCGACCGACUAGACGUGAGAACCGGUGACGUUAAUUAACGUUACGCCGUAACGCGUGAAGAGAUACGCAGCAGGGUGUGUUCGCCAGAGGAAAGAGGAAGAGGAGGAGGAACGUCCAGUCAACGUCGGAGCGCGUAAUAACGCGCCCGAUUUCGCUCGCUGUGGCCGAUUUGCUCGGACACCGCUCGGAUUCAUCGCUCGCUCUCGUCGGGGCCCUUAACGGUCCGAUAUCAUGCCCGACACGGUGAUUCGUAAUGGCGAGCAAUCGGCCGGCUAGGAAAUUCUCGAGCCGUGACGUAAAAGAUAGCAGCCCGAGGGCGUGUUUCUUCGGCACGGCGCCACCAAUGCCGGGGCUACGCUUAUUCGCGCACGAGCGCGAAACGAACACGCGUCCCACACGCCGCGUCUCCUCAUCCUACCCGUUCCGGCGGCUUCUUGCGUCAAGUUCACAGCGGAAGGAGAGAUCGUUCAUCUUCGAGCGCUCCGUAGCCAAUGAGACGAGCCGUACAGCAUCUCAGCAAGACGACUUUUAAAUUCAAGAUCCGCUUACGAAUGAUUAUAUCAUCCCAGGUCAAGAUUCGUUGUUGUCCCCACAACCGAGGAAUGUACGGUAUUCGAGGAACCUGAGCGAAGGCGCGACUCGCGCGGUUGACAAUGUGUUAAUUUACUUAACAACUCAAUUGUCGGGCUGAACGCGCAUGAUUGUUCCCGAACGAGCAAGAUUAAGCCGCUAAGCUCGCCUUCUACUCACAGGAGAGGAGGUAACGGCGCUCUCUCUCUCUCUCUCUCUCUCUCUCUCUCUCUCUCUCUCUCUCUCUCUCUCUNUCGUGGUCUCCGGUGUGGAUUCAGCUUCAGGACGACUCUACCUUAAUUCCCGGCUGUCUACGAUUUUAAUUACGGACGUGCUCUCCGGUCGGCAGAGAGACGAGAUACGAAGAAAGAGAGAGAGAGAGAGAAGGAGAGGGCUCUUCGCUGGCGGCUUCCACGUUUAUUCGAUGUGAGCCGGCGGCCGCCGCGCAAUUACCUUUAUUCACCUCGAUCUACAUUGUUCCCGAGGUAAAUGGCGAUUGAAUCUUGAUUGGAGCGCGUCGCCGAGCUUCCUUGCCUAGGCGAGGAAACGGUGAAAGAGAGAGAGAGAGAGAGAGAGAGAGAGAGAGAGAGAGAGAGAGAGAGAGAGAGCAAGCAA